rnacentral:rRNA from 1 species
AUACGUAGGGGGCGAGCGUUGUCCGGAAUGAUUGGGCGUAAAGGGCGCGUAGGCGGCCCGGUAAGUCUGGAGUGAAAGUCCUGCUUUUAAGGUGGGAAUUGCUUUGGAUACUGUCGGGCUUGAGUGCAGGAGAGGUAAGUGGAAUUCCCAGUGUAGCGGUGAAAUGCGUAGAGAUUGGGAGGAACACCAGUGGCGAAGGCGACAUACUGGACUGUAACUGACGCUGAGGCGCGAAAGUGUGGGGAGCAAACAGGAUUAGAUACCCUGGUAGUCCACACUGUAAACGAUGAAUGCUAGGUGUAGGGGGUAUCGACCCCUUCUGUGCCGCAGUUAACACAAUAAGCAUUCCGCCUGGGGAGUACGGCCGCAAGGUUGAAACUCAAAUGAAUUGACGGGG